rnacentral:lncRNA from 1 species
UUAACUUCUCUAGAUGUACAAUCUAUUGGAACGUAAUAAUAGCUCAAGAAAGCCUUGUCCCCAUAAUUUUCAAGGCUCACUUAUACAAAUCCUCUUUUCCCACUCCAAUCCAUCAUAAUUCAUAAACCAGUUAGUAAAGUCAAGCCAUGAGAUGUGACAAAGUUUUGCUACAUCAACCUAUCGCAACCCCCUCUAAUCUGCUCAUGGGAUCAGCUAUGAGGAUACCGGUUAGUAAAAUCAAUGAUGCCAAAAUCAUUAUGUUUAAAAAUUAAUGAUCAAGAGCAUAACUGAUUGUUAUGGCCUCUAUAAAUUUAUUCUUUCUGACCAUGUGUUUCUAUAUUUAUUGGUAUUGGUGGUUACUCUAAUCAAUACCCCUUUCACGUUUUAGCAAAGUUUUGACAUCCCUCAAAGUUUGUUCUGAUAAGGAACUGCAUGGAUGGUAUAUGACUUAUCAAUGAGCAAGCAGAGAAUCCUCUAAUUCAACGUGUCAGUUUAAAAGGAUAACUAAAGUGUGAGGCCUUGAAUAACCAUCAUAGCUUGAGGGACAGCAAAGGCCACUCGUUGACUCGUCAAUCAUUAUAUAUAUAUAUAUAUAUAUUGGUGGAAAAUGACGAGGUGGAUGCAAAGGCUAAAGUAAAUAAAAUGUUAGAAUCA